AGAACGAACGCUGGCGGCAGGCCUAACACAUGCAAGUCGAACGCUCGUAGCAAUACGAGAGUGGCAGACGGGUGAGUAACACGUGGGAACCUUCCCUAUGGUUCGGAAUAGCUCAGGGAAACUUGGGGUAAUACCGGAUAAGCCCUUCGGGGGAAAGAUUUAUCGCCAUUGGAUGGGCCCGCGUCGGAUUAGCUAGUUGGUGAGGUAACGGCUCACCAAGGCAACGAUCCGUAGCUGGUCUGAGAGGAUGAUCAGCCACACUGGGACUGAGACACGGCCCAGACUCCUACGGGAGGCAGCAGUGGGGAAUAUUGGACAAUGGGCGCAAGCCUGAUCCAGCCAUGCCGCGUGAGUGACGAAGGUCUUCGGAUUGUAAAACUCUUUUGGCGGGGACGAUAAUGACGGUACCCGCAGAAUAAGCCCCGGCUAACUUCGUGCCAGCAGCCGC
rnacentral:rRNA from 1 species